rnacentral:rRNA from 1 species
CAACUCGCCUGCAUGAAGUCGGAAUUGCUAGUAAUCGUAGGUCAGCAUACUACGGUGAAUACGUUCCCGGGCCCUUGUACACACCGCCCGUCAAACCAUGAGAGUUGGCAACACCCGAAGUCGGUAGUCUAACCCGCAAGGAGGACGCCGCCGAAGGUGGGGUUGAUGAUUAGGGUUAAGUCGUAACAAGGUACC